rnacentral:rRNA from 1 species
UACGAAGGGUGCAAGCGUUACUCGGAAUUACUGGGCGUAAAGCGUACGUAGGUGGUUUAUCAAGUCCGCUGUCAAAGACUGGGGCUUAACCCCGGGAAGGCAGGGGAAACUGAUAGGCUAGAGUGCGGUAGGUGCAGGAGGAAUUCCCGGUGUAGCGGUGAAAUGCGUAGAUAUCGGGAAGAACACCAGUGGCGAAAGCGUCCUGCAAAGCCGUAACUGACACUGAUGUACGAAAGCUAGGGGAGCGAAUGGGAUUAGAUACCCGGGUAGU